rnacentral:rRNA from 1 species
GAUGAACGCUAGCGGCAGGCUUAAUACAUGCAAGUCGAGGGGCAGCAUGACUGUAGCAAUACAGUUGAUGGCGACCGGCAACGGGUGCGGAACACGUACAGAACCUUCCUUUAAGUGGUGAAUAGCCCAGAGAAAUUUGGAUUAAUACACCGUAACAUAUAGAGUUGGCAUCAAUUUUAUAUUAUAGCUCCGGCGCUUAAAGAUGGCUGUGCGGCUGAUUAGGUAGUUGGCGGGGUAACGGCCCACCAAGCCUACGAUCAGUAACUGGUGUGAGAGCACGACCAGUCACACGGGCACUGAGACACGGGCCCGACUCCUACGGGAGGCAGCAGUAAGGAAUAUUGGUCAAUGGACGCAAGUCUGAACCAGCCAUGCCGCGUGGAGGAUGAAGGUCCUCUGGAUUGUAAACUUCUUUUCUCUGGGGCGAAAACCUCCCAUUCUUGGGAGCUUGACAGUACCAGAGGAAUAAGCACCGGCUAACUCCGUGCCAGCCGCCGCGGUAACAC